rnacentral:rRNA from 1 species
ACAGCAGCCGCCGCGGUAAUACGAAGGGGGCUAGCGUUGUUCGGAUUAACUGGGCGUAAAGGGUGCGUAGGCGGGUUUUUAAGUCAGAGGUGAAAUCCCGGGGCUCAACCUCGGAACUGCCUUUGAUACUGGCGACCUUGAGUGUGGGAGAGGUAAGCGGAACUCCGAGUGUAGAGGUGAAAUUCGUAGAUAUUCGGAAGAACACCAGUGGCGAAGGCGGCUUACUGGCCCAUUACUGACGCUGAGGCUCGAAAGCGUGGGGAGCAAACAGGAUUAGAUACCCCCGUAGUCCCUGUCUCUUAUAC